AAAUUUUUUCUUAAUUUUCACAAAUAUAAAUUUCAAGUAAAUUUUGCAUCAUGGAUACGCAUCUGAAAAUGCCGUGCACUUUCGAAUAUUCUCAAGGAAAUGGGACUGGAGUAGCAGAAGCGCUUGGAAAUUGGGGAUUUUCAAGCCAAAUCGGCAGCCCUGGUCAAGAACUCCGACGUCUCAAAUGUUUAUUUGCCAAGAUGGACCAAUUGUAAAGAAAAUUCCAGUUGAAUUAUGACUUAAGAUCAUGGAUCAGUCGAUAUAUCGCAACCAUGAGUGCGAGAGACUGCAAUUUUUGAAAGUGAAAUUUUUCCAUACUGUUCGCCCGAUUGAAAUAAUAAUGGAUUUCGAAAAUUCCAAGUGAGGUUAGGUGACUGAUCCAUACCAAAGACUCUCGAAAUAUCAACUUAAAUCAGUCCCGAAAAAGAUUUGUUCAGUUUUCUGCUUUAUGCCUUCCCCGAUACAGUUUAGAAAAUGAAUCAUCGUAAAACAUCAUAAAAAAUCUAAAAAAAAAAUCAAGGUUAUGUAAAAAAAAAAGUGCUUUUUUUCCUCUUUUCCCCUCGAAGGCGAAGCUCGAAACCAACGAUGUGUGUCAGAUAUGACCACAGAAACGAUCCUGAGGCAUGCUGACAUCGUUACAGUUUCCGAUAUGAGUAGAAUCAGACCCGAUCUCGCUUCUCCUAUUCCCGGUCGUGGUUUUUUGAUUCAGAAGACGACGGAUAAAUGGUUCAAGAGAGGUCCUGACUGUUGUCCUCAACCUAGUUGCCUCGCUCCCCAAUGCCCAAGACCUUGCUGCUAGUUUCUGCGAGUCAUUCACGAUCAGAUUAUUUUUACCGACUUCUGAAUGUCCUUCAUCAUGAUUUAUCACUUUUUAAAAAAAUGUUGCCGUCUGUAUAAUAUUGAAUAAAUAAAAAUGACGCAAA